UUAGGAAAAAAUAUUUGGAUUACCAUUUUAAACUUGUUAAUUCUAUUUUCCAGGUUUUAUUCAAAAGGUUUAUGGAAUUCUUAUGCUCCAGCUGAUGGUUACUCUUGGCAUCAUAGCACUUUUCCUUUAUGUAGCACCAGUCAAGAAA